GGGCGCAUGGUGGCUUAGUGGUUAGCAUGUUCGCCUCACACCUCCAGAGUCGGGGUUCAAUUCCCACUGCGGCUC